GUGACAGAAGAGAGUGAGCACACAUGGUGCUUUCUUGCAUAAUAGUGUAAUGCUUGAAGCUAUGCGUGCUCACUCUCUGUCUGUCAC
rfam:Punica granatum cultivar Dabenzi scaffold56, whole genome shotgun sequence.